ensembl:lncRNA
CUGGAGCUCAGGAUGACCUUGCUAUAACACGUCUGUGUGGCUUUAAUUUUUUUCAAACCUUAUUUUUAAUGAUGGUUCUUAAAUGCUUUAACUUUCCUUAUAACCCACAUGCCCCAGCACAUGUAUCCAGUCAGCUCGAGUCCGUGGAAGCGGCAAGAAACUGCAGCACACCGCAGAAGAUGUUUAGAGUCUAUUCCGAAGUCCUGUGCUCUCCUCACUCCCCAUGGCCAAGCACGGAGACCACAGCGGACACUGAAUUGUAGGACAGUCCAGCCAGGGCAGCAGUACACAGGACAGGCUGCUUCCUUCCUGGACCACAUUCCCAGUAAGAGUGGAAUCUCACACCCGCUGUAUCUUCCCCACCCGUGCCAUGGCCAGCCCCGAGCCUCUUUUCACAGUUCUUUUUUAUUUUUUAUUUUUAUUUUUUGGACAAAUCUCACACCGUAGCUUAAACUAGUGGUUCUCAACUUCCUAGUGACCCUUUAAUUCAGUUCCUCAUGUUAUGCUGGACCCCCAACCAUAAAAUGAUUUCAUCGCUACCCCAUAACUCUUACUUUGCACUUAAGAAUCAUAAUGUAACUAUGUGAUAUGCAGGAUGGUCUUAGGUGACCCUUGUUAAAGAAUCACCUGAUCUUCCCUCCUCCCAAAGGGGUUUCAACACACAAAUUGAGAACUUCUCGUUUAAAUUUACAGUCAAGCUCAGGGCUUCAGAGUAUGACUCUGGGAAGAGAUGGAAGGGCUCGUGGUGGGUGUUCUCAGGUACUGGUUAAUUGUUGGGACCAGGGCCAGGAUUGAAGAGAGCACGAGAUGAAAUAGCGCCACAGAGCGUAAGCGAUCAGGGAAACCCUAGCUUAUUUCCUGGCACUUCAGGAAGGGCCAGCCGUCUGAAAACACCUUUCCUGAUGAUUUUAAGGGCUGCACUGUUAGAGACUGGCAUGGAACCUAGGUUUUCCACCGACACCAAGUUGUUUGGAAUCAAAAACUUCUUUCAAGGUCAGCACAAUGGC